rnacentral:lncRNA from 1 species
GUUAGGGUUAUAGUAAGGGUUAGGGAAAAUAUGAUUUCAAAGGAAAUUAAUUUAAGGUCCCCAAUUGGAUAGAAGAACUAAACGUGUGUGUGUGUGUGUGUAGGAGGGUUGGGAGAUCAGGAGGUGGAAUAGCAUAGAGAGUGAGACGAUGUUUCUUGUAUAUUUUGUCUCUCUGUGUGCAUAGUGUGCUGGCCCUACAAGGCAGGUGGAGCUGGGUUAAGUCACAAUGAACUGGAGAGUUGGAGAGCUGCCACUGCCAAGGCAACCAUGAGGGAUGGAGGAGACGGGAGGUCCAGAAAAUCCAUUCAUCAUGCCUGUCUCUGCCUCAGCCUCUGUCCAUGUCUCUGCCUCAGCCUCUGUCCAUGUCCCUGUCUCUGCCUCAGCCUCAGUCCAUGUCCCUGUCUACUGCCUCCAGCCUCUGUCAUUGUCCCUGCUCUGUCCAUGUCCCCUGUCUCUGUCCCUGUCUCUGCCUCAGCCUUGCCCAUUGUCCUGUCUCGCCGCCUCUGUCUUCCCGCCUCGCCUCGCCUCUGUCAUGUCCCUGUCUCUGCCUCAGCCUCUGUCCAUGUCCCUGUCUCUGGCCUCAGCCUCUGUCCAUGUCCCUGCUCGGUCCAUGUCCCCGUCUCUGCCCUCUGUGCCCUGUCUCUUGUCCAUGUCCCUGUCUCUCCCUCUGUCCAUGUCCCUGUCUCAGCCUCUGUCCAUGUCCCUGCCUCUGUCCAUGUCCCUGCCUCAG